AGUGAACGCUGGCGGUAGGCCUAACACAUGCAAGUCGAACGGCAGCAAAGUAAGUGCUUGCUUUUACGGGGGGCGAGAGGCGGACGGGUGAGGAAUACAACGGAAUCUACUGUUUCGGGGGGGAGAACGUAGGGAAUGCUACGCUCAUACCGCAUAAGAACUACGGGUGAAAGCAGGGGAACUUCGGACCUUGCGCGUGUGAAUGAGCCGAUGCCGGAUUAGCUAGUUGGCGGGGUAAAGGCCCCCGAAGGCGACGAUGCGUAGCUGGUCUGAGAGGAUGAUCAGGCACCCUGGAAGAGAGACACGGUCCCGACUCCUACGGGAAGAAACAGUGCGGAAUAUUGCGCAAUGGACGAGAGCCUGAUCCAGCACUACGGCGUGAAUCAAGAAGGCGUUGGGGUUGGAAAGCCAAGAUGUUGGGAGGAAAAGGCAGCACUUUUGUAGCCCAAGGUUCUGACGGUACCCAACGAAGAAGCAACGGCUAACUUCGUG
rnacentral:rRNA from 1 species